ensembl:vault_RNA Vault Vault RNA
GAGCCAGCUUAGUCUAGUUGUUUCUUCGCAAUCUGAGUAAUUGUCAUUUAACUGUUGGUUCCUAGUAGUUUGAGUCCUGCGGGCGCUGUCUAGUUUUUUG